rnacentral:rRNA from 1 species
UGCAAGUCGAACGGAAGUCGUUUAAAAUGGAAUGCGGAUUUAUCUAAGUGAAAUUUUAAACAAUGGCUUUAGUGGCGGACUGGUGAGUAACGCGUGAGCAACCUGCCUAUCAGAGGGGAAUAACAGUGAGAAAUCAUUGCUAAUACCGCAUAUGCCAUAAUAUUCACAUGAAUAAAGUGGGAAAGGAGCAAUCCGCUGAUAGAUGGGCUCGCGUCUGAUUAGAUAGUUGGUGGGGUAACGGCCUACCAAGUCAACGAUCAGUAGCCGGACUGAGAGGUUGAACGGCCACAUUGGGACUGAGAUACGGCCCAGACUCCUACGGGAGGCAGCAGUCGGGAAUAUUGCGCAAUGGAGGAAACUCUGACGCAGUGACGCCGCGUAUAGGAAGAAGGUCUUCGGAUUGUAAACUAUUGUAGACAGGGAAGAAACAAGACAGUACCUGAAAAGUAAGCUCCGGCUAACUACGUGCCAGCAGCCGCGGUAAUACGUAGGGAGCGAGCGUUAUCCGGAUUUAUUGGGUGUAAAGGGUGCGUAGACGGGAAUACAAGUUAGUUGUGAAAGCCCUCGGCUCAACUGAGGAAUUGCAACUAAAACUAUAUUUCUUGAGUACUGGAGAGGAAAGCGGAAUUCCUAGUGUAGCGGUGAAAUGCGUAGAUAUUAGGAGGAACACCAGUGGCGAAGGCGGCUUUCUGGACAGCAACUGACGUUGAGGCACGAAAGUGUGGGGAGCAAACAGGAUUAGAUACCCUGGUAGUCCACACCGUAAACGAUGAAUACUAGGUGUAGGUUGUAUUAUGCAAUCUGUGCCGUCGCAACGCAGUAGUAUUCCACCUGGGGAGUACGGCCGCAAGGUUGAAACUCAAGGAAUUGACGGG